rnacentral:lncRNA from 1 species
UCCCGGGUUCAAGCGAUUCUCCUGCCUCAGCCUACCAAGAUUGACUUCUAAAGACUUUUGGUACGUGAGGAAGAAACCCAGAAGAGGAAGAGGAAAGCAAAGGAGUCAGGGAUGGCUCUUCCUCAGCACCACUGGGUUAGGGUCUCCCUGACUGAGCUGGUCUCGGCAAGUGGCGUACCUUCAUGGGGGCUCGAAUCCAGGUUGAAGGGUCACCGGAGCGACAGUUGGAAUGGAAAACUAGCUGGAGGACACCCAAGUACUCUUAAAGCAAUCCCUGUGGAGGAGUUAAUCUUCAAGGAUUGGAACCUAACUCGGUUUGGCAAAUGGAUGUCACACAUGUUCCCUCGUUUGGGAGACUAGCUUAUGUACAUGUAUGUGUGGGCACCUUUUCUCA